CUAAGGAACAGGCGAUCCAAUAAUCGUCGAUGCCCUUCCUAGUGUCUCAGGCUUCGACGUCCAAUGGAGCUUCCACAGGAGGAGAGACCUCAACUAGUACGUCGGCCGGAUGUGACGACAUAUGCACCAAAAUUCGGGGGCCGCCCGGACUCUGCUGAGAUGAGGAGGCGGAAGGCUGGGGGGCUGCAUCUCCUAGCACAGUAGAUAGAAGUGGCACCACUGCCUUUGCUAGUGUCAAGGACUCCU
rnacentral:lncRNA from 1 species